GUGUUGUAUGAAAGGAGAGAAGUUUAGCACUCCCCUAGACAAGGAUGGAUUACAAUACAUAUGCUCAAGCCAGCACACUUGAGCACCAUUUUUU